AGUUCGAUUAUGGCUCAGAUUGAACGCCGGGCGGAUGCUUUACACAUGCAAGUCGAACGGCAGCACGGACUUCGGUCUGGUGGCGAGUGGCGAACGGUGAGGGAUGUAUCGGAACGUGCUCAGUAGCGGUGAUAACUACGCGAAAGCGUAGCUAAUGUACCGCAUACGCCCUUCGGGGGAAAGCGGGGGACCUUUCGAAGCCCCAUGCAAUUAGAGCGGCUGAUAUCGGAUUAGCUAGUUGGUGGGGUAACGGCUCACCAAGGCGACGAUCCGUGGCUGGUUUGAGAGGACGGGACCAGCCAAUACCUGAGACACGGCCCAGACUCCUACGGAGGCAGCAGUGGGGAAUUUUGGAUACUGGGGAAAACCCUGAUCCAGCCAUCCUGCAAAAGCGCGAUGAAGGCCUUCGGGUUGCAAAGCACUUUCGCAGGAAAGAAACGGCACGGGAUAAUACUCCGUGCAACUGACGGUACCUGCAGAAUAAGCACCGGCUAACUACGCGCCAGCAGUCAUGGUGGUACGUAGGGGUGCAAGCGUUAAUCGGAAUUACUGGGCGUAAAGCGUGCGCAGGCGGUUCGGAAAGAAAGAUGUGAAAUCCCAGAGCUUAACUUUGAACUUACUUAACUGAGCUAGAGUGUGUCAGAGGGAGGUGGAAUUCCGCGUGUAGCAGUGAAAUGUGUAGAUAUGCGGAGGAACACCGAUGGCGAAGGCAGCCUCCCGGGGAUAACACUGACGCUCAUGCACGAAAGCGUGGGGAGCAAACAGGAUUAGAUAAUUCUGGUAGUCCACGCCCUAAACGAUGUCAACUAGCUGUUGGGGUCUUCGGGCCUUGGUAGCGCAGCUUAACGCGGGAAGUUGACCGCCUGGGGAGCACGGUCGCAGAUUAAACUCAAAGGAAUUGACGGGACCUUGCCGCGCGGUGGAUGAUGUGGAUUAAUCGAUGCAACGCGAAAACCCGCCCACCUUUGACAUGUCCGGAAUCCCGAAAGACUGGGAGUGCUCGCAAGAGAACCGGAACACAGGUGUUACAGCGGCUGUCGUCAGCUCGUGUCGUGAGAUGUUGGGUUAAGUCCCGCAACGAGCGCAACCCUUGGUUGCCAUAGUUGCUACGAAAGGGCACUCUAGUCGAGAUCGUUAUGACAAACCGGAGGAAGGUGGGGAUGACGUCAAGUCCUCAUGGCUCCCAGGUAGGGCUUCACGCUCACGCAGUGUUUUGUCGGACAGAGGGUCGCUAACCCGCGAGGGGGAGCUAAUCCCAGAAACCCGAUCGUAGUCCGGAUCGCAGUCUGCAACUCGACUGCGUGAAGUCGGAAUCGCUAGUAAUCGAUCAGCAUGUCGCGGUGAAUACGUUCCCGGGUCUUGUACACACCGCCCGUCACACCAUGGGAGUGGGUUUUACCAGAAGUAGUUAGCCCAACCGUAAGGAGGGCGAUUACCACGGUAGGAUCUAUGACUGGGGUGAAGUCGUAACAAGGU
rnacentral:rRNA from 1 species